UCCUAGACAAAUCAGCCACCAGGUCAAGCAAGGCGUGGCCCAGGCAGGGUCUCCCCGCUGGGGUCACCCAGAUCUCACAUCCUGCCCCAACUGUGCAGCAUCGGGCAUCCCCAGCCAGUGGCCAGGUCACAGAGGGCACAGGUUGAGGGUGCAAAAGGCAGCACAGCUGGAUUGGAGGUGCAGUCAGGAAGAGGCCCAAGUGGCCCCAGGGACAACAGUACAGUGGUUGCAGGCAGAGGAAGAAGAGAAGAGAUGCGGCAUGGAAGAGACCCUGCAGGGCCAGCACAUGUGUCUGUUAUGGCCCACAAAUGGGGAUGCCCAUGGGUGGGAAACAGGAGACAGAAUAACAUGGAAGAUCUGCUUUUGAUCAGUGGUCAAGGAAGGCUCCUGUGAAUGUAAACUGAGGCAAGAAAGACAAGAAGAGUCAACUAGGAAAACACCCCAGAAGGAACAGAGCACACAGUGAGAAAGUGCACCCACCCUGUGCCUUAGUUCCCAGACCCAACUCCCCACUUCAAAGAGGGUCCAUUUGGACCCCGGAGACAGACCCCUCUUGCUGUGUCCACUCCCAGCACCAGGCCUGGGUCCUCCUACCAAACAAGGAUGAGCCUGUCUCUGUUUUAUUGUUUUGUUUUGUUUUCGGUGGUACUGGGGUCUGAACCCAGGGCUUCCCAUUGAGUUACAUUCCCAGCCCUUUUAAUUUUUUAUUUUGAGACUCAAUUUUGCUUAAGCACCAAACCAGGCUCGGGGUUGUGAUCCUCCUGUCUCAGCCUCCCAGAGUUCUGGGAUGACAGGUCCUUAUAACAGUUCUACAGGCAUUUGUGGGAAUGGCUGUGACUCCCCAAGGUAGCAAACCACACACAGAGCCCCGAAUGCUGUUCAGCACCCAGGUGUGAGCCGCAGAGGAAGAGGGUGGGUUGAGUGACAGAAGGAAUGUUCGGGAAGGCAU